rnacentral:rRNA from 1 species
UACGUAGGGUGCAAGCGUUGUCCGGAAUUAUUGGGCGUAAAGAGCUCGUAGGCGGUCUGUCGCGUCUGCUGUGAAAACCUGGGGCUUAACCCCGGGCCUGCAGUGGGUACGGGCAGACUAGAGUGCGGUAGGGGAGACUGGAAUUCCUGGUGUAGCGGUGAAAUGCGUAGAGAUCCGGAAGAACACCGGUGGCGAAGGCGGCCUGCUGGCAGUUGCUGACGCUGAGGCGCGACAGCGUGGGGAGCAAACAGG